UACGGAGGGGGCUAGCGUUGUUCGGAAUUACUGGGCGUAAAGCGCACGUAGGCGGCUUUGUAAGUUAGAGGUGAAAGCCCGGGGCUCAACUCCGGAAUUGCCUUUAAAACUACACCGCUAGAAUUGUGGAGAGGUAAGUGGAAUUCCGAGUGUAGAGGUGAAAUUCGUAGAUAUUCGGAAGAACACCAGUGGCGAAGGCGACUUACUGGACACAUAUUGACGCUGAGGUGCGAAAGCGUGGGGAGCAAACAGG
rnacentral:rRNA from 1 species